rnacentral:lncRNA from 1 species
AUGACGUUUGGAGUUAACAUUGAGGAUGUUCUUACUAGUGUUGCUGUCAUGGAAGUGGUGCAGACUAAUGAUAAAGUUGGUUUAUAUUGUACUUCAAGCAGUGCGGCUCUCUUUUUUUUUUCUAUCUCAAAAUUUUUUUCUAAGUGGAAUUUAUUUAUUUAUUUAUUUUUACCAAGAUCCACAUCAUUAGCGUACAUAAUCCAGCUUGAUGUAUUCUUUCUUCGAAGACUUUGUAUCUAUAGUUAGUUGUGCUGAUAUUUGAAAGACUUUUUUGUUUAUGCCCCUUGAUAUUAAUCAGGUAGCAUGUCUUUCAAUUAAGACACAACUUUAAUUCAUGAUAUUCAUGUUUGGAUUAUGUUAUCAUGCGUACUAUCUUAAGAUGUUUAAUAAAGCAUCUUAUUAAAAGAAUAAACUAUAAUGAAACUAACUAAUGUAAUAUAAGAUUGUCAUAUCACCGCUUACUCAUCCUUUCUUUGUUCGUCCCACAUCAGGAAACCUACCGAUAAUCACCAUUUCUUCAAUUUGGCAUUGAAAACUGAAAACUCGUUCGGGGUCUUGAAGUUUUCUUUUUUAAAGUUGUCUAUGUCCUUAAAGGUUAGAUUCCCUAUCAUAUACACAUUAUCCAGUAAAAUAAACACAGUACUAUGCAAGAAAAGUAAAAAAGUACUUGAAAUAUGUGACUUUCAAUUAAAAGAAUGAUACAUUUAACAGCUUACAGAAACGAUAAUAUGAGCUCAAAGUAUCUUUCUCUUCGAAGACACAUGAGAAACGAAAAGACAGUAAUACAACAUGGCUUGAUUGUGCCGACAAAAUAAUGAACUAAUUAAUUAGUAGAAAUAUCCAACAAUCUGGGUCAUUUCGUUAGUUGACUGCAGAACAAAUGCGGCGGAUUUCACCAUUUGUGGCAGAUUUUACACCGAUGUUACUCAUUUUUACCAUCGACUUUCCGAACUCGAGGUUGAAAUUCAAUGCUUGUAAGCCUCUCACGCCCAAAAACCGUUGGACAAAACUUUUAGUGGUGGCGUCGGUCCACAACUUCUGAUCCGACUCAAGUAUCCCACGACCAUUCUUCAAGUUUGUGAAGAAAGUUGCUUCGAAUCGACUUGCGCUGCCCGUGUCUAAAUCAACACGCCUGGCCGCGUCACCAUUUUCAGGGCAAAUUGAUCGUAGUUGAGCAAGGAAUAAAGGGUUGAUUGUUUCGUCAGCGCCAUUUCCGGUGGUGGUGAAGUUAUACAGUCUGUACCUGAAGAACUGGCAAGCUGAGGUGCCAAUGGUGUGUGCGCCAACUAGCGUGACAAGAUCUUGAGUGUUGAGACCUAAAUCUUGGAACUUGGCCUUUUGUACAUCAAUGGAAUCUCUAAAGCCAGGCAAAUUAGUAGUCUCAGUUGCCAGCGAAACUCGUCCAUCUCUUCUUCCAGUAGGCACAUUCCAAGUGAAUCCCUUGGGAGCAGCCUCUCCAUAAAUGGGGGUAAGGCUAGCCGACAUUCACCUCUCCCAGACCCUGCGUAAAGCGGGAGCCUUGUGCACUGAGUACGACCCUGAGAAGGAGAUGAUUAAUUAACUAGACAUUAUAAUUUAGCUAGAUACAUAAAUAUUGAGCAAUGUUAUUCCCAAACGUAGAAUGUAAUUAUGCAUUCCUUCAGUUAGUGUUUUAAUAUUAGUGUAUGACUCAGUUUUUAACGGUAUAUCAACUUAAAAUUAACAAGCACACAAGAGCUGCCAUCAAAUUAAUACUUACCAGAACCACGGAAUCACGGGCCGCAAGAGCGAGAAUAUCUGCACAGGAAACAACCCCGGGACAUGCAGCUUCAAGCUUGGUCUUUGCAUCGUCAAUGACUUCCGAACCUCUUAAACCGAGGUUGGGCCCGGCGGUUUUCUCAGUAUUAGGGCCGUCAAGAAGGACAGAAGCAUCACAACCUUGGACAAAGCAGUCAUGGAAGUGCAUCCUUAACAAGCCAGGAGCAACGGAAGGGUUGGAGUUGAAAUGAGUUUGAACUGUUUGUUUGACAAUAGAUUCUGCCGUGGGACAUGUACGCGAAUAGAAUCCAACGCGCGUAAGUUGGCCUUGGCCUUGCACCAUCACCAAGGUGGUAGCAAAACCAACAAGUAGCUGUAGAAAGUACAUUAGUAACAAUUUGGAGGAGCUCAUGUUGUGUGACAGUUUGUGGUUAAAGGAGGUGUGUGUAUAUAUUGCAAGCUAGACGCAGCUUGUAGUUUGGAGAAAUAAUAUAUAUAGCUAGCGAGGGAAAGGGAUUAUUUUCAGACUCUCGAUCAAAAGUGCUUUAGGCUGUGUGAGUACUGUAAUCUGCUCUGUGUGUGUUGGAGAGAAUGAAGCCUCAGGUAUUUAUAAGAGCUGGUCAAAUUAUUAAAUGCGUAGAUAUUAAAUUAUAUGCAAGUAUAAUAUGCGAGGGUAAACAAAAUGGGGCUACAAAUGUAUGGGGGUCAACCAGAAGAGAAAAGAUCAACUCUUUAUCUAUAUAUUUAUCUGGUCAGCUGGCUGGCACUUGGCAGUUACCACUUGCAACGUUCAGAAUGAUAUCUUAUGACCGACUAAUACUACAUUUAUCAUUUAUUACUUAUUUGUAUUAUUAAUGUACCAUUUUUAAUAGAGAUAGGACUCAGCAACAUGUAUGUAUCAUCUCUAUUAAAUAAAUGAUACAAAUAAUAGUUCAAGUAUAUGAUAAGAGUAAUAUUUUUGCUUAGGACCAUACCUGGGAAUGCAUGGUGGCAUGGUGCUGUUUCGUUUCUUGUUUUUGGUCAAACAUGGAACUGUUCCACCUCAGAACUUUCUAUCCCUAGUUUGUCAACCAUAAUCAACAUAUUCACGAUCGAGGGCAGAAUAUACCCGCUGAGACAGUUUUCCCUACUCAACUUUGAUUUUUUUAAUUUUUUUUUCCCAUAAAAUGCUCCAAUUAAAGCUAUAAAAUUCCUAUAUAUUCAUAAAUGAGUCUUGGUCUAAGAGCAGCUCCAGCGGGAGCUUCUGCUCGAGGGAUAGGCUGCGGAACAGGACCGAAUAGGUCGGGGAAUGUGGUCUAGCGUAUGCGAGCCCGAGGGACAAGCCAUGCCCGAGCGACAAGCCUGGCAGCGAUUGCCAGCCCAAGAGUCCGAAGGCAUCCUGACGCAAGGUUGACGUCCCGGCGACGUCAGCCAUAAUCUCCUUUGCAUUUCUGGGCCUCAACCUUGCAGCAACCCGACCUCCGUCAUCCUUCGAAGCUUCGUCAUCUUUAAAGGCCAAGUCGACAUCGUGGGCUUUCCCGAAGUCGGCGUUGUGCUUUCUCGAAGCCGGCGUUGUGACUUCCUCGGAGAUGGUUGUCGGAGAAGAUGUAGAAGAUGCAUAAUUGAAGAAGAAGUUUUCCGAUAAACAAACGAAGAAGAAAGAAGGAAGUGAAGAAGAAGAUGAAUAAUUGAAGAAGAAGCCGAACCAAAUCUGCAGAGAAGAAGAAGGAAAUCUGUAGAGAAAAGGAAGAAGGAGGACUAUAUAAUAUUAAUAUAAUAUUAAUUUAUACAAAGUAAAUAAUAUAAUAUUAAUUAUAAAUAAAAAUAAAAAUAAUAUUUUAUUACCAAUUGCCAGGGUUAUUCAGUGCAGGGGUGGAGAUGCAAAAGGCAAUUGUCACGGCAAUUACUGUUCAUUAAGGGCAGUUAUUGUUCACUAGGUGGAUUAAAUAGUGAAUAGCCUAGGGGGAGGGCUCCUACACUGGAGUUGCUCUAAAGACUCAACUUAAAAUAUGCUAUGAUCUUCUAUACUUUUUAUACCCUCUUAUGUUGCAAUAUGAUUAUGAUAACAUAGUUUUCACAAUAUGUGUAAUCCUGUGUGAAGAUACAUCAUAAUACUAGUGAACUAAUAUUCAUAUGAUUGUAGUUGAAUAAGUUGAUUAAUCAAUAAAGAAAGUAAUACAGUUAUUUAUUAUUUAAUUAAUUAAUUCUAAUGGAUAUGACUGCUGGAUAUAAUUGAACAGUUGUAUUCAAUAGGAAAAGUUGUAACUUCCCCUGAAGAAUACAACUCCUCCAAAAAGGGUAUCUCAUCUCUAUAUAUUCACCAAAUACCUUUCUUGUCAGAGCAUUCAAUUCCAACAUAUAAUUGUUCUCACUCUUUAAUUCAUAUCCUCACACAUAUUGUGAUUGAUAGUCUAAGCGACAUCGGUUUUCCGAUCUUGUAACUUCCAUCUCUUACCCUUCCGAGCCAAGUAGUUUUUCCACUAGCUAAUAAUUUACAAUAUGGAUGGCACUUAGGUGAGUUCCUCAGAUACUCACUUUUUUUAUUUUGUUCAAUCAAAAGAUGUCAUAUGCUCUUUGUUUUUUAAAACUCAAAUCGUCUACUUUUUUAAAACAAUAAAAUAAAACAUGUGUUAAAAUAUGAUUGGACCAAAAUAAAAAAAAAGAGUAAGUACGUAAGUAUUAUCUCUACAAUAUUACCGUUCUAAACACCAAUUACUCAAAAUUAUGUUGUUGGACAAUAAAAUAAUAGCAUGUAUUAAAGUUUUAAUAUAAUUUUUUAUUCAAAGUUGACCCCACUCAAAAAUAUUUCUAUUUUCGUUUAUGUUCGUGAUUAUUCUUUUAUUUAUUUCAUAUAUACGUGAAUGACUAAAUAACUUGGUAUUAGAAUGAUAUCUUUUUUAGAAAUAAUUUUCAAAUGAGUGACUGGUGAAUAGUCCACCCCGAGAGAUGGAUGCAAAGCUACACAUGCAUGAUUGGUGUACUUUGUCAACCACGAAUCUUGCUUUUGACCAACCGUUGUCGUUUUCAUCCAAUUAUUUAUUUUUUAUCGCCAUAAAAUAUUAGAAAUGGAGAUACUCUAGAUGUUUUAAUUAUUAAAUCUUAAUUUUUUUAUAUUUAACAAAAAUUUACGGUUAAAAUACUUGUAGUAUUCCAUACUCUUGGUUAUAUUAGAAAAUUCCCUCUACAUGAAGAGGGGAAUUAGGGUUGGGAUUUUCGUACCGAAAUACAACUGACUCGAAAAAUCCAGACCCAAAUACCAAAAAACCCAAAAAUUGCAUAUCGCUUUAGUUUUGAUAUACAAUUUUUCCAAACCGAACCCAACCCUAGAAAUGAUUUGGAGCAAUAAUUAAAGAAUGAAUCUCACAUUGAUGGGAGGAGGAAUAUUAUAUGUGGUUAUAAGUAAUUAGGCUACCUCCAAAUUGCCAAUUGAUUUUAUAUGGUGGAAUCUCAACUUUCUUCGUGGUAUCAUCACAGAUUGUCCCACGUGUGAAACCAAACGGCCGCAAGUGCUCCACGUCACCGUGUUUGUGUUGUUUAUGUGCUAAGCUGACAGUUCUUCACAUGUGAGAGACGUAUUGAGGUCGAAUCCUAUAUUUAUGAAAUGAGGGACUUACAUGUGCUUAUAAAUAAUUAAAUUGCUCCUUGUAUUACCAAUUAAUUUUAAAGUGAAACCUUGAUAGUUUAGAUUCUAUCUUUUGGCAGCGAUUAAAGAAAGAAUUGUUAGAAAAUGACUACGUUUGGCAAAGAUACGCGGUAAAGCACACCAAAAAGCAACAGUGUAUACAUAUAUACAUAUAUAUAUAUAUAUGUAUGUAUGUAUAUGCAUAUACAUACAUAUAUACAUACAUACAUGGUUGACAAAGUGGGACUAGAAAAUACAGAAGUGGAGGGGCUCCAUGUUUGACUAGAAUUAAAACAAGAAAAGGAAACAGCACAUGCAUUCACGGGUACGAGCGUUACAACUGAGGAAGGAGUAAAACCAAAACAUACGUACUGCCAACUGCUAAGAUAAGUAUAUAGAAAGAGAGUUGAUCUUUCCUCAUCUGGUUGACCAAUUUUUUGUGGCCGACUUUUUUUACCCUCACAAACAUUUUCAUGGAUACCUAGUUUUGUAAACUUUCAGUGACGAAUUUAUCCAGGAAAUCAGGGGCGGAGCUCGUGAGGGACGGUGGUUGGGCAUGUCCCCUGCAUUUUUCCUGAAAAACCCUAAUAACAAACUAGAUAAACCAUUAGAACUGAAGAAAGACUAAGUGAUGUUCACCUAAGAAUGAGGCCCAGGAAUAAACAUUAUAUAUUUUUUUCCUUCAGAAAACCUAGAAUACUAGAAGGUUACUAAAACAAUAGAGUUACUCACAUUAUAUAUAGGCAGAAUUAUGCUAGUGAAAUAUAAUAAGAUGCAAAUUAAUAGUUGUUCAUUCCCUAAAUUCGUCAUGAGUCCUGCAUGUAGGUUGGUAAUUUACUUGAAUAUGAAUUUGGUGAUUGCGAGUGUGCUACAACUAGUUACCACUAUUAGAUGGGGUUUGACUAAUGGAGAUUGCACUUAAUCAAUUGACGCCUAACCAAAUACUAUGCCAUUAAGUUGGAGUGACUUAACUUUAAUUUCUUUCUUGGCCUUACCUAUUGAGGACUUUACGUAUGUAGAGAAUUAUAUCACAAUAUGCAAGCGGUGAAGAGAAAGAGAAAUUACUUAAGCACUUUGGUGAAGAGAAAGAAAUUACUUAACAAAGUUAAGUUGUGCAUGUAGCUCUUUUGCUUUGUCAAUGAGAGCCUUGUAGAAACUACAUAUGACUUACUACUCAAACUCGAAUAUUUGAAUGACGGUUGUUGUUUAGAGUUAAUGAAGGUGUGUGGUGAGCUUUUGUGCAUAUGAAAAGGAAGCUCAACGUUUGUCGGAAGUAACUCACCGAGUGCUUCUUUGCUGAUGAUUGUAUGAUCAUCAAAGGGUGGAGCUGUCAUUUCCACUUGGUGCUUUUCCUAUAGUUCUACAACUUGCAAAGUUUAGUCAUCAUGAGUGUUAAUGGUUGGAAUUGCAUCGUAUUCUUGAUAAGUUUGUAAUUGUAAAGUUGUUGGUUUUUCUUUUGGCUUGUGUGACCUCUUAAUUACGUUUUACAUGUCUUCUUUAUGUACGUUCUUUAAUCAGUUUUAAUAAAGUAAUUUGUUUCAAAAGAAAAUUUUUCAAUAUGGUAAAUGAGUUCUUAUAAUUGAAUUAUAUUUUAAUUUGACUUGGUUGGCACCAUAGCAUGUAUUCUCCUAAUCAUUGGUAAUCAUUUCCUCUCUCCAUGCAGAAUGCUGAUGACCCUCGUUAGGCAAUUAAUAUGUUUCUAGCAUUUCACGGCGGUGAUUAAAGAAUGACAACGGUUGGCAAUUAGCCAAGAUACGCGGUAAAUUACACCACCAAUAAAAAAUGUGUACAUAUUCAUAUAUGGUUACAAAUUAGGAAUAGAAAAUUCAGAAGUGCUGUGGAAGGGUUCUGUCACAUCCCAGUCUGUAGAUAUUGUUUGUUUUGGACCACGCCCUUACGGAUUUGUUCUUGGACAUCCAUCCAAAACGUGUCUUACUAUAGGGAGGUGGACAUGUACAUAUAAGGCACAUCACCUCCUCUCCCCCGAGCGAUGUGGGAUCUUACAAUCCAUCCCCCUAAGGGGGCCGAUGUCCUCAUCGGCACACUUCCGGCCGGGGAGUGGCUCUGAGACCAAAUUGUCACAUCCCAGUCCACAUAGUAAGAUAUUGUCCGCUUUGGGCCAUGCCCUCACGGAUUUGUUCUUGGGCUUCCACCCAAAACAUGUCUUACUAUAGGGAGGUGGACAUGUACAUAUAAGGCACAUCAUCUCUUCUCCUCCGGAUGAUGUGGGAUCUUAUAGGUUCCAUGUUUGAAAAGAAAAAAAACAAGAAAAGUGAUAUUCGACAUAAAUUAGAUUUGUUUUAUAUAAAAUAAAAUUAAAAGAAGAAAGAGAUUAACAAUCAAGAAAACUGAUUACAGAAUUAGUAAUUCAGAUGUUAAUAAAUUAUUUGUUGUCCCCAAAAUGGAUGUUUUGGGCUUUCCGUGUUGUGCGGAUUAACGCAACUAAUUUGAUGGCAUGUCUGUUUUGGGCUCGUAAUUAAUAUAAGUCGUUUACUAUUUUUAAUUCAGAAUUUAAUAUUUAGGAUUUCUUUAUAUUUUGUUAUUUGUUUAUUUCCUUUCCUAUUUAGAUACCUAGGGUUUCUAAGAUUAAGAACAUUAUAAAUAGGUCAUUUUGGUGUUAGAUUUGUAAUCUUUUUUACUAUUAUUCAAUAAACAUGAGUUUUCUCUCUAUUUCUCUAGUGGACUAUAGGGCUUGCUGGAGAAGAAAUUUCGUUCGAUUUUUCCUUAUUAUAUCCCACUGCGUCAAAAUGAAACAGCACCCACCACGCAUUGACGGGUAUGGGCGUUACAAGUGAGGAAAGAGUAAACCAAAACUUAUUACCGCCAAGUCCGAGCAAGUUCUAGCCCGACUUUGUUUACCCUCACAUAUAUACGAAAUACGAUACAUGCAUAUAAAAAAUAAUUCAUUCAAUUUCUACGCGUUUAAUUAUUUGACCACCUCCUAUAAAUACUUGAGGCUUCAUCUCCUAAACACAACCAGCAGAUUACAAUACUCGCCGAGCCAAAAGCACUUUGUUUCACAGCAGAUAUCAUCUUCGUGCGAGCCAGCUACUCGCAAAACCAAAGCUAUAAGCUGCGUCUAGCUUGCAGUAUAUAUAUAUACCCACACACAUCAUUUACCAAAAUUUACCACAAGAUGAGCCCCUCCAAAAUGUUCUUGAUGUACUUUCUACAGGUACUUGUUCGUUUGGCUACCACCUUGGUGAUGGUGCAAGGCCAGGGCCAACUUACACGAGUUGGAUUCUACUCGCGUACAUGUCCAGCAGCAGAGUCUAUUGUCAAACAAACAGUUCAAACUCAUUUCAACUCCAACCCUUCCGUUGCUCCUGGCUUGUUAAGGAUGCACUUCCAUGACUGCUUUGUCCAAGGUUGUGAUGCUUCUGUCCUUCUUGACGGCCCUAAUACUGAGAAAACCGCUGGGCCUAACCUCGGUUUAAGAGGUUGGGAAGUCAUUGACGAUGCAAAGACCAAGCUCGAAGCUGCAUGCCCAGGAGUUGUUUCUUGUGCAGAUAUUCUCGCCCUCGCUGCCCGUGAUUCCGUGGUUCUCGUAAGUAUUAAUUAUUUAUUUGAUUGUUGCUCUUGUGCUUGUUAAUUUUGAGUGAUAUAUCGGUAAAAACAACUAUAUAUUCAUACUCUCCUCUAAUGUACAUAAUUUUGCUUAUUGCAGACCAAAGGAUUCACUUGGAAUGUGCCUACCGGAAGAAAAGAUGGACGAGUUUCGCUGGCCACCGAGACUAGUAAUUUGCCUGGUUUUAGAGAUUCGAUUGAUGUACAAAAGCGCAAGUUCCAAGAUUUGGGUCUCAACACUCAAGAUCUUGUCACGCUUGUUGGUGCACACACCAUUGGCACCUCAGCUUGCCUGUUCUUCAGGUACAGACUGUACAACUUCACCACCACCGGAAAUGGCGCUGAUGAAACAAUCAACCCUUUAUUCAUUGCCCAAUUACGAUCAAUUUGCCCUGAAAAUGGUGACACGGCCAGGCGUGUUGAUUUAGACACGGGCAGCGCAAGUCGAUUCGAUGCAACUUUCUUCACAAAUUUGAAGAAUGGUCGCGGAAUACUUGAGUCGGAUCAGAAGUUAUGGACCGACGUCACCACUAAGAGUUUUGUCCAACGAUUUUUGGGCGUGAGAGGCUUACAAGCAUUGAAUUUCAACAUCGAGUUCGGAAAGUCGAUGGUGAAAAUGAGUAACAUCGGUGUAAAAUCUGCCACAAAUGGUGAAAUCCGCCGCAUUUGUUCUGCAGUCAACUAACGAAGUUAAUGACCAAGAUUGUUGUAUAUUUCUACUAAUUAAUUAAUUAGUUUUAUUGUUUUGUUGGCCAAUCAAGCCAUGUUGUAUUACUUUCUUUUCGUUUCUCAUGUGUCUUCAAAGAGAAAGAUACUUUGAGCUCAUUCUUUGGUUUCUGUAAGCUGUUAAAUGUUAAAUAUAUCAUUCUUUUACCUGAAAGUUUUAUAUUUAGAGUACUUUUUUUAAUUUUUCUUGCAUACUACUGUUUUUGUAUUACUGGAUAAUGUGUAUAUGCUAGAGAGUCUAACCUAUAAGGACAUUGACAAACUUUUUUAUAGGAAAAUACUUAAGAAAACAAGACCUCGAAAAAAUUUUCAGUUUUCAUUACCAAAUUGAAGAAAUGGUGAUUAUUGAUAGGAUUCCUCAUGAGGGAUGAACAAAGAAAGGAGGAGUAACGAAUUGUGGGACAAUCUUGUAUUACAUUAAGAGUACUUCUUUUUAACUAUGGUUCCCGUACUCUUCAUGUUAUUUAGUCUCACUUUGCCCCAUAUACUCUUCUCUUGUGGCCCACUUUACUCUAUCUUAUCAACGAGAUUAGAGAAGCUUUAGCUUCGCCAAUGUGGCAGAGGCUAUUUGAUCUUUUGAACAAUGACUAUGGGGAUAAGUUAAAAGAAACUGUAAGUUACAUUCUACUCAGGUGGUAGCAAAACAUAUUCCAAUAUUGGAAAUUCUUUGCCGUUAUUCACACCUCUUAUUCAUUAGUAAGUGUGAGACAUUAAUUUCAAUUAAUUUGAAUAUUGAUUGUUUAGUUAUGUAUGAAUUUAUUGUCUACAAAAUUAUUCUUUUAAAAUGAGGAGGAUUUUCUUAUUAAAUUCCCAUAGGGUCCUGAAAAUGUCGGAAACGGCCCUGAUUUCAUUGACACUUAAGAUUCUAGUAUCAUUUGACCGUGAUUAAAGAAGGAAUUGGUUGAAAAAUUCUACGGUUCGGAAAAAGCCAAUGAUACGCGGUAAAGUCCACCAAUACACAACAGUAAAUAAGAUACAUACACACACACAUGGUUGGCAAAGUAGGAGUAGAAAAUUCAGAAGUGGAAGGGCUCCAUGUUUGACCAAAACUUAUAACAAGAAAAGGAAACAGCACCAUGCAUGAAUUCACGGGUACGGGCGUUACAAGUGAGGAAAGAGUAAACCAAAACUUAGUAUAUAUACGUACUGCCAACUGCUAAGAUAAGUAUAUAGAUAUAUAGAGUCUUAGAGAGUUGAUCUUUCCUCUUCUAGUCUACUGGUUGGCCUCAUUUUUUGUGGCCGACUUUCUUUACCCUCAUAUACAUUUUCAUGAUAGUUUUAAAUUACUUUCAGUGACGAAUUUUAUCCAGAAAAUCAGGGACGGAGCAUAUAUAAAAGGGACGGGGGUCACCAUGGCCCCUGCAUUUUCCUGAAAAACCCUAAUAACAAAUUAGAGAAACCAUUAGAACUGAAGAAAUACUAAGAGAUAUUCAUCAAAGAAUGAGGCCCAGUAAUUAACAUUUAUAUAAUUUUAUUUAUUAAAAAAAAAACUAGAAUACUAGAAAGUUACUAAAACAAUGGAGGGUUAAUUACUCACAUUAUAUAUAUAGGCAGAAAUAUGCUAGUGAAAAAUGAUAAGAUAUAAAUUAGUAGUUGUUCACUCCCUAAUUUGCCAUGGGCCUUGAGUGUGGGUUUGGAAUUUACUUGAACAUGAAUUUAGUGAUUGCCAGUGUACCACAAUUAGAUACCACUAGUAAAUGAGAUUUGAGUAAUGGAGAUUGCACUUAAUUGAUUUCUAACGAAAAUAUUGUGUCAUUAAGUGGGAGUAAUUCAACUUUAAGUUCUUUUUUUUACCUUGCCUAUUACGGAUUUACGUAUGUAGAUAAUUGUAUCACAACAUGCAAGUGGUGAAGAGAAAGAGAAAUUGCUUAAGUGCUUAGGUGAAGGGAAAGAGAUAAAUUAACAAAGUCAAGUUGUGCAUGUAGCUCUUUUGCUCUAUCAAUGAGAGCCUUGUAACUAUGACUUACUACUCAAACUCAAAUUUUUGAAUGCCAACUGUUGUUUAGAGUUAAUGAAGGUGGUGAGCUUUUGUGUAUAUGGAAAAGGAAGCUCAAUGUUUGUUGGAGAUAACUCACAGAGUGCUUCUUUGCUAAUGAUUGUAUGAUCAUCAAAGGGUGAAGCGGUCAUUUCCACAUGGUGCUUUUACAGUUUUACUAUAGUUCUACAACUUGCAAGGUUUAGUCAUUAUGAGUGUUAAUUGGUUGGAUUUGUAUUUGUAUUCUUGACAAGUUUGUAACUAUACAGUUGUGGUUUUUAUUUUAAAAAAGUGUAAUUGUUUCAAAAGAAAAUUCCAUAUGGUAAAUGAGUCAUUUUAACCUGUUGCUAGUGCGGAAGCCAGACUUGUGGCUAAAGGGAGGCUGAAAUGCCUAUGUGUCUUCCCGACCCCCUGAAGAGGUGGAUAAUUGUGGUUUGCUAUCAGUUGUCCUUUUUUUUAAAAAAAAAAAAAACCUGUAUUAUAUUUUAAUAUGACUUGGUUGGCACCAUAGAAUGUGUUCACCUAAUCCCUGGUUAUAGGGGUGGGUUCGGUUCCGAUUGGUUUGGUUUUUUGCCCAAGUCGGAAACCGAACCAAAUUACUGUUUGAUUUGGUUCGGUUUUAUUUCAGUUUUUUUCGGUUCGGUUUAAUUUUGGUUUGGGUUUUUCUGGUUCGGUUUUGGUCCGGUUUAGAUUUUUCACUUUUUUUUUUAAUUUUAAAAUUCUGAAAUUGAUCUGUGGGUGAUUCUUCUUACAUACUCAAUUUAAUUCAUUUGGAAGAACACUAGCAACAACCUGAUUGUCCUCUUUCCCUUGUUUUUGCUGCGAAAAAAAAUCAUAGAAAAAAAAAUACAAAGAUACAAAUCAAUUAUUUUUGCCUUCACAGCCAAAGUUGCAAGUUCACAACAAACCAACAAAAGAAUAUUGAAAGCUAAGACGAAAACGAAAAAAAUUUAAUUAAAAAACUCCAUACGAAGAAUUCUUAAUUAGUACAAAGAAUAAAAAAAGCCAGGUACAAUAAAUUUAAUAAAUAAAAACUAAAUUUCACUCUAAUUAGAGGCCUUGGAGGAUGGAGGUGGAGGGCUGGCGUGCUCAAUAUUGCAUGCAAAAUUACCUGCAAAUACAUAACCAAAGCUAUGGAGAAUUCCUUUUUGUCCAACCACUAUCUUAUUUCGACAAACCCAUCGCAAAAUUUAUUUAGAAAAAACUCACACCAAUUCACAAACCCAUCGCAAAAUUCAUUCAGAAACUUACAAAGAUACAAAUCUCAGAGAAAUUUACAAAUCCAUUCACAUCAUCACACAUAUCUUGGUUUCAAAUUUCAAACAAAAUAUCUUUUACCCCUCUGAAAGUUGGACUCAGAAGAGUUGUUGGACUGCCGGUGAGUAUGGAUUCUUGGCUAGCCCGGAAGAAGAGAGAGACAUCAGAAGAUGCAACAGAGGAUUUAGGGGGGGGGGGGGGAGAGAAAGAUAUGAUUUGUCAUGGAUGAGGGAGAGAGUAAAGAUCCGGAUGGGGAGAAAAAAAGAAAAAAGAAGAGGGAUGAGGGGGUGAAUAAUGAAUAUGGAGGAUGGAGAAAGGAAAAAGAAAGAACAAAGAAGAUGGAAGAUGGAGGACGGAGAGAAAUGGCGCGGCUGGGGUGAAAGAAAGAGUAAAGUGAGAGAAUA